AUCUGCCAGCCACUCAGUCUACUAGCCAGCCAACCAUUUCUGUUUUGCUUUAUUCUGUGGGCUCGUGUUAGAUCAGGAGGCAUAUGUAAGCAUCAUGCAAGAUGUUUUUCACAUGCGCUCUUACUACAUUUUGGAAGCGAACAACACUAUAUUUUUAACUGGAAACAGUAAGAUGACAGAGGCUGACAAAAGAACCCUUAUUUCCGCUUACCGCGAACUUUUUCUUAUGUGUUAUUUAGUAAACAAAAUAGGUGGCAGCGGCUUUGCGGAAGGCUUCAUGUCGACGAAUCAGCUGCUCCACCUCGUCUACACUG